rnacentral:lncRNA from 1 species
CACCUACUGUACAGUUUGACUAUGGGGCUCCACAGGGAGGAUCUACAAAACCUACUGGAGAGGUUGGGUAUGGAGCCUCGCAGGGAGGAACUACAGUGCCUACUGGACAAGUUGGGUAUGGGCCCCCACAGGGAGGAUUUGCAGCACCUUCUGGACAGUGUGGCUAUGGGCCCCCACAUGGAGGAUCUGCUGCACCUACUGGACAGUUUAGCUAUGGAGGGGGCCCACAGGGAGUUCCUGCAGCACCUACUGAACAGUUUGGCUAUGGAGAGGGCCCACAGGGAGGAUCUUCAGCUCCUUUCUAUACACAGAUGGCUUCAGCCAGCAGUCCAAAUUCACAGGCUAAUAGUGGUAGCUAUUUCGUACAGAAUGGAGGAUGUGCUGCUCCUGUUACU